AUCCAGCUGACGAGUCCCAAAUAGGACGAAACGCGAAUGCUGGAU
rfam:Schistosoma mansoni strain Puerto Rico chromosome 6, complete genome